rnacentral:lncRNA from 1 species
GGACGGCUGUUCCUUGGGAUGACACUAAUGGCUUCGAGAGCUUCGCUUUAUAUGUUUGAAAACGUUUUGCGAUCAACUAAAAAUUCUAAAAAUAAAUACCAGACCCAAUCCGACACAUAAACACAUAGCGAAGCUUUCGCGAAUGAGGUUUCUGGAUACAGUAAAUAUCCAUCUUUUUACAAGUUUCAAGUAUUUCCAAGGAAUCGCGAAAAAUUGUGUGAAAAAAAUAUUAAAGUACAUUGAUUUUGAGGUGCUUUAAUCGAAUUUUCUUUUGUGGAUUUAAGCCAGAGUCUGGAUGGGCUGCAUAUAUUUUUAGUUUUUAGUUUAUACGUUCGGUGUGUCUGAGUUUACUCUGGUAUUUUAUUGUUGUGGACACUAUUAUAAAGUCAUUCAGUUUUUAGUAAAGUGAGUCAUAUUGGGAUAGACGCACUUAUUAAUAGUGUAACUCAACGUACAUUUAUUUAUAUUAUGAAGAAAUAGACCUUUCACAUAGGAUAUCGCAAUAAGGGGGUUACCGUAUAAGGUUCAAAGUCGACUGGCGGGGGGUGAAGAGCUUAUGUUGGUGAAUUGAUGAAAUUCCUUGCUUGGUUAUGGUGGGUCAUGUAAAUGGAUCAGAAAGCAAAGUGCUCCAAACAACCAUCCAAGAUUCGAUUUCAAGAUGAUGUUCACUGGUGGAUCUGUCAACAGACAAAAAAAAAAGCUCAAGUGGUAGUAGUAGUGGUAGUGGCGAUAGACGAAGCUCAAAUGACAAAAGAAGACAUAGAGCUCCCAGGUAUCCAGAGUUAUCUGGAUAUGACGAUGUUGUUACUAAGCAGUUUCUUCCAUUAAGGAAGGAAACAGUUUCUCUGUUGCCGCCAUGGAUUUCAACUUCAUCUCGCACAUCAGCAUAUGGAUAUUAAAGCAUUACAUUAUAUAUACUUUAUUGUGGCGCUGAAGGACAAACAGGGGCAGUAAGCUGAAAAAAAUAAAACUAGAAUGGAGGAAGAAGCAGUCUUCAUUGUGUCGCUGAAGGACAACAGGGGUAGUAAGCUGGAAAAAACAAAAUUUUAGACUUGUUUUCUUAUUAAAAACAGUGUUUUUCUUACCACACCAAAAAAAGGGUUUUUCCCAGAGAAUGGUGGAAGAAGCAGUCUUUAUUGUGUCACUGAAGGACAACAGAGGCAGUAAGCUGUAAAAACACAAAAUUUUAGACUUGUUUUCUUAUUAAAAACAGUGUUUUUCUUACCAUAUCAAAAAAGAGAUUUUCCAGAGAAUGGUGGAAGAAGCAGUCUUUAUUGUGUCACUGAAGGACAAACAGAGGCAGUAAGCUGUAAAAAACAAAAUUUUAAACUUGUUUUAUUAAUAAAAAUAUGGUUUUCUUACUAUAGCAAAAAAGGGACUUUUUUCCCAGAGAAUGGAAACCAUACAUCAAUCAUAAUUGUAUCAUAUCAUGUUUCGGCUAAAUAAUAUAUGGAUCUUUCUUCCUCCCAAAUUUCAAAUUUUUUUAAUUUUCCUCAAAUAUUCUAUACACCACCUGAAUUCCAUUACAGCAGCUCUUUUGUUAACCACCUUAAGCUUAAAUCCAAGUUUUAUCAGGUAUCUCCGCAAAGUUGAGACUGAGAAAUGUUUGUCCCUUGCC